GAUGAAGAACGCAGCGAAACGCGAUAGUUAAUGUGAAUUGCAGAAUUCAGUGAAUCAUCGAAUCUUUGAACGCACAUUGCGCCCGCCAGCAUUCUGGCGGGCAUGCCUGUUCGAGCGUCAUUUCAACCCUCGACCUCCCCUUGGGGAAGUCGGCGUUGGGGACCGGCAGCAUACCGCCGGCCCCGAAAUGGAGUGGCGGCCCGUCCGCGGCGACCUCUGCGUAGUAAUCCAACCUCGCACCGGAACCCCGACGUGGCCACGCCGUAAAACCCCCAACUUUCUGAACGUUGACCUCGGAUCAGGUAGGAAUACCCGCUGAACUUAAGCAUAUCAAUAAGCGGAGGA
rnacentral:misc_RNA from 1 species